rnacentral:lncRNA from 1 species
CCCCCAUGGCUGCUUGGUGAAAUGACAGCCCCGCUCUGCUGGGAGCCGGGGAAGAGGAAGGAGCUGGGGCAGGGAGUCCAGCUUGGGAGCCCUGUGAGCCCCUCUAGGAGCCUGGCCCUGGCUGGAGAGAGCAGCACUGGGUUGAAACCCACUUAAUUCAUGGCGGCACAGGAUUGCCAUCUGUGCUAAACUCCAGCAAAAAGCAGACGCAGGCUUUCCUUCCUGGCUCCGCAGCCCGGGGCCGGAAUCAGCUACGCCCACUGCACCGAGAUCAGCUUUGAAAAGUCCCCAUUGCAGACGUGCGGCAAAGGCUGGGGGAAGCUGGAAGCUUUGCUAAGGCCGCUCUGCUGUGAUCAGCCUGGCCUGGGGCGCCCUGAGGGAUUCCUGAGCUGCCUCCUGCACCCCUCCCCGUCCUCCAGGAUGAGGCCCUCACUCAGGCACGCCUGGCGCCUGGAGGCGUAGGGCCUGG